rnacentral:rRNA from 1 species
AACGAACGUUGGCGGCGUGGAUUAGGCAUGCAAGUCGGGGGAAUCUCCCGCAAGGGAGGGAACCGGCGUAAGGGGCAGUAAGGCGUGGGUACCUACCCUGGGGUUCGGGAUAGCUGUCCGAGAGGGCAGGUAAUACCGGAUGACCUGGUGACAGCAAAGAUUUAUCGCCCUGGGAGGGGCCCACGUGAUAUUAGCUAGUUGGCGGGGUAAUGGCCCACCAAGGCUGAGAUGUCUAGCAGGUGUGAGAGCACGACCUGCGCCACUGGCACUGAGACACUGGCCAGACACCUACGGGUGGCUGCAGUCGAGGAUCUUCGGCAAUGGGCGCAAGCCUGACCGAGCGACGCCGCGUGUGCGAUGAAGG